rnacentral:rRNA from 1 species
AUUGAACGCUGGCGGCAGGCCUAACACAUGCAAGUCGAGCGAGCGGCGGACGGGUGAGUAAUGCCUGGGAAUUGCCAAGUCGAGGGGGAUAACAGUUGGAAACGACUGCUAAUACCGCAUACGAUUGGCUUGCCCAGGUGGGAUUAGCUAGUUGGUGAGGUAAUGGAGCACCAAGGCGACGAUCCCUAGCUGGUCUGAGAGGAUGAUCAGUCACACUGGAACUGAGACACUGGCCAGACUCCUACGGUAGGCAGCAGUGGGGAAUAUUGUAUAAUGGGGGAAACACUGAUGACGCCAUGCCGCGGGUGUGAAGAAGGCCUUCUGGUUGUAAAGCACUUUCAGCUAGGAGGCGUUACUCGCAGAAGAAGCACCGGCUAACGCCGGGCCAGCAGCCGCGGUAAUAC